CUAAGCCCUACCUCAGUGUCUUCAUCUGUGAGUUAAAGGUCACUUGCUAGAGCCUGCUGUACGUUCGUGACAAGUGAGGUCCUUGCUUAUAGGAAGUCGUGUUUUUCUUCACAUCUGGGCAGAAGCGAAGUUCAAAGUCAGAGUUCUACCAGGGUUCAGCUUCUGUGAUCAGUCAGACCAUUCCUGUUCAGAAGAGAGCUUGCUAAAAACAAUGAAGAGCAGAGUAGGAGCAGGGGAGAAAAGUCAAAGAGCCUCAGGUUGCUGCAGCUGUUCUGCCAAGUGAACAGAAACCAAGAGGGGCACUUGGGUGCUGUCAGUGUGUUUUCAUUACACUUGAAAUACAUUCAGCGUUCUAUCAAGAAGCCCUCAGCCAACAUAAAGAAGCUUUCACCAAGUCAAGACCUGAAGGAAGAGGAGCCAGCAUGAGGUGGUGUGUGGGACACACGUUCCCAUCUUUCAGCGGCUGACAAAUCCGGGGAAGGAGAGAAUGACCCAGGGAAACGGAAGUGGCCAUUACAGGACAAAUCUGACGGAGUAUGAAAGCGGUUUCAGUAAGAAAAAGAUCCAAGAAGGAUAAAAUGCUUGAGGGAAGCAUCAUGGAGGAAAUCAGAUGUCGUUUGUACCUUGAAACAGAAUAGAAUUGAGAUGCAUAGAUUUGUAUAAUUGCAAGAAACAGGAAGAGCCUUAGGCAAACA